rnacentral:rRNA from 1 species
AUUGAACGCUGGCGGCAGGCUUAACACAUGCAAGUCGAGCGGGGAAGAGUAGCUUGCUACUUUACCCAGCGGCGGACGGGUGAGUAAUGCUGAGGAAUCUGCCUAUUAGUGGGGGACAACAUCUCGAAAGGGAUGCUAAUACCGCAUACGUCCUACGGGAGAAAGCAGGGGAUCUUCGGGCCUUGCGCUAAUAGAUGAGCCUAAGUCGGAUUAGCUAGUUGGUGGGGUAAAGGCCGACCAAGGCGACGAUCUGUAGCGGGUCUGAGAGGAGGGUCCGCCACACUGGGACUGAGACACGGCCCAGACUCCUACGGGAGGCAGCAGUGGGGAAUAUUGGACAAUGGGGGGAACCCUGAUCCAGCCAUGCCGCGUGUGUGAAGAAGGCCUUUUGGUUGUAAAGCACUUUAAGCGAGGAGGAGGCUACCGAGAUUAAUACUCUUGGAUAGUGGACGUUACUCGCAGAAUAAGCACCGGCUAACUCUGUGCCAGCCGCCGCCGUAA